rnacentral:tRNA from 1 species
GAGGUUUUAGUAUAAAAUAGUAUAAUUUAUUUUCAAUAAAUAGGUUAAAAUCUUA